UUCGCAAUGCCCGAAAGGGUGACGAAGCGACGCCGCGUGGGUGAGGAAGGCCUUCGGGUUGUAAAGCCCUGUCAGGAGUUAAGAAAUAUAAGUGCGCUAAUAUCGCAUUUAUUUGACGAAGGCUCCAAAGGAAGCCACGGCUAACUCUGUGCCAGCAGCCGCGGUAAUACAGAGGUGGCAAGCGUUGUUCGGAAUUAUUGGGCGUAAAGAGCACGUAGGUGGGUUUGUAAGUCAGAUGUGAAAGCCUUCUGUUCAACGGAAGAAUUGCAUCUGAAACUACAAGUCUUGAGUGUAGGAGGGGAGAAUGGAACUUCUGGUGGAGCGGUGAAAUGCGUAGAUAUCAGAAGGAACGCCGGCGGCGAAAGCGAUUCUCUGGCCUAUUACUGACACUCAGUGUGCGAAGGCUAGGGGAGCAAACGGGAUUAGAUACCCCGGUAGUCCUAGCUGUAAACGAUGGGCACUAAGUAGAGGGGUUUU
rnacentral:rRNA from 1 species